rnacentral:lncRNA from 1 species
UACAUAAUAGUUGCGUCAUUUCUCACCAGAACAACAUGGCGGCUAGGUGGAAAGAGCCUGAGUUACUCCAUUUUCUCCACAGAUUGAAAAACCAGAACUCUGGCCCCACUACAGUCUCAGACUUCUUAGUUCACUGACUCCGCCUCGAUCACACCAGAGCUAAAUUUAUUAAAUUCCCCAUGCUGAGCUACCAUCCAAAUGAGAUAUAUCCACAAGUCAAACAGGAAGAGAAUUGAUCACAAGUCUUUGAAGCCUAUUCAGCCAUGGUUCUCAAAAAUUUUAGUCUGUAGCACUUGGCAGAUCAAUGAUUUAAAAAGAUGCAAAGACUCUAACAUCUCAGCAAUAAUGUAAUCACUCUAUAGUUAGAAUCUUUACCCUCUAGUAUUUCCUUCCUGGUAACAGGCAGGUGUACAUUCUGGCCAAUCACACCAGCAAGAGACAUGACAGAUAUCAUAACAAAGACAUUCUUGGCUGACUCAGUCUCUUAUUUACUGCCUCAGCUCUUUCUUCCCCCAAAAUACUCACUCUUUCUCCUCUGUUUGAAACCCUCUCAAACUCCCCAGAGAUCCUUCAAAAUGAAACUGAGACCAACCAUAAGUUGCCCUGCCUUUAGCUACAUUUUCCUUUAUUUGCAUGUUGCUUUAUUUAUUACAGGUUGAUGGAUGAAGGGGAGAUGGAGGCUGCCCAUGACCAGGUGGAGGAAGAGUGAUGUCAGAACAGUUUUAGACAGUUUACUUUGCUCCACUUGGAAGAAUCCCAAGUGGGUUUUUUUUGUUUUUGUUGUGGUUUUUUGGUUUUUUUUUUUGACUCAUCUACUUUUUAUGAUCACAAGAAUGUAUACUCUAGAGUUCUUCCCCUUGUCUCCUGUACCUUCAUAUACUUUAUUGACUAAGAUAUGGUCUCUUAAAUCCACUAAUGAAAUGCCUUCCAUUCUACUAUAUUUCCAUUAUAUGCUGAUAAUUUCCAAGCAUAAAUAACAAUAAACCUCUUGCAUAAAUAUAUUUUAUAUGUGCAUUACUCUCACAAUAGAUUUCCUUUCUAAUUAUAAUUGUAAUAUAAUGUUACAUGGAUCCCUAGUCAUCUUCAGUUAGCUAUCUUAGUUGUCAUUUGAGAGGAUGAUUUUGUGCCCUGACCACAUUUUCUUAGGUACUCAAGAGGCAAAAUUCUCAUGCAUCACAGUAAACUCACCAGCUUUAUUUGGCAUUAUUUGGUCUUAAAAUAUGCUUCUAACUUCUUAAUUGCAUGAUAAAUUUUAACCCAUUCUGGAUGGUCAAAUAACCCAUUCAGUAAAUUUUCUAUCUGACACAUAAUCUUCACAGUAACUGUUACUAAACAAAAGUUUGUAUAUUGAUGAAAAAUUAAAGAAUUUACUCUCACCUGUUAAGAACCACUGACUUAGAGUUUCUUAGCUAGGUAUUAGGAAAAGCUUAUAGCCUUUACCAACAGUAAUGUACUAACAAGUAAUGCCAUUCUCCUCCUAUCCAAUAAUUCUCACCACUCCAGGUGUGUUUAGUUAUUAAUUAAAAUACAUGUAGGUUAAGUUUAGGUGUAUAUUUUGAAUAGGGCUACUUCUAAAUGAAAUCACUUCUUCUGAAUAGAUAGAUCUAUCAAUAGAUCUGAUUCCAAAGUAAUACCAUAGGGUUCUUCCUUGAUAGCCUCUAAUACAAAAUUUUAUCACCCUUCUUCUACAGUGAAAGCUCUGAUUCCUAACACUAACAUGUUUAUUCAUUUGUUUAGUUUAUAAUAUACACAAAAUGGUUUUAGAACUAUUACAGUUCUACCAUCAUGACAAAUCUUCUAAGUAAAUAUAAGAUUCUCCUAUGGCCCUACUUGCCCUUAUAAUAUGACCCCUUUUCUAUAGUCCUCAUAAGGUGUUGACAAUCACUCCAACUUCACAGUUCUUUCAAAACAAGGUCCUCUCAAAUUAUAACAAUAUUUGUAUGACCUUAUAUUCCAACAGAGUUUUACAUAUGACAACAUUGGUUAUGUAUCUGACAAUGGCAUGCAGAACAUCUGCUUUUGUGGUUAUUCAUAAACUCAUGGUGUCAGGUAUAGGAGAAAGCCUCAUUCAUCUUCAUCAAGUCUGUACCUAGGGAACCAGAGUAAUGAACCAUCAGGAACUGAAACUACAAGUUUCUUUGCCUACACCUUACAGAGGUUUAUUCAAGCCCAUCAGAUUAAGGGCCAGGCUUUCUCUGUAUGACUAACUUUACUUAUUAUGGUAAUUUCUAGGUCCAUCCAUGUUACUGCACAUGGCAUUAUUUUCCUUCUUUUUUAUGUCUGAGUAAUAUUCCAAGACAAACAUCAUAUGAUAUCACUUACAUGUGGAAUCUUAAAAAAGGAUAAAAAUGAACUUAUCUUCAGAACAUAAAUAGACUCACAGAUUUUGAAAAACUUAUGGUUACCAAAGGGAAUAGAUUGGGGGUGGGUAGAGAUGGACUGGGUGUUUGGGACUGGCAUUUGCACACUGAGAUAUAUAGAUGAUUGGCCAAUGGGGACAUGCUGUAUAGCAGAGAGACCUCUACCCAAUAUUGUGAUAGUCUGUGGGAAAAGAAUCUGAAAGAGAAUGGAUGUAUGUAUAUGCAAAUUUUAAAAAUACCAUGUUCAAGUAGAGUGCAAAGAGUCACACAAAGAAGCAAAUUGCGUAUCAUGUUCAAGGUCAAGUGCAAGAAAAAGAACAGAGCAUAAAACCAAAAGUUCGGGAGUCAGAUAAAUGCAGACUGAGCAGAAUGUAGAAAAGUAGCAAGGUUCCAGGACUUUUGUUGUGUGUUUGGUACAUGUUGUGUGGAUGUAUUGGCCCAAGCUAAAGUUACAGUAUGGGAAGAGCUCAUUUUUCCAGACAUUGAUGAUAUUUCUAUGAAUAUCACACAAAUGAUGUUAUGAUUCUCCAAGAACCUACUUAUAGGAAAAAAGAAUCAAGAACAUACACAAUAUAGGAAAAAUUAUAAGGUCCAGUUUUCUAAUAUUAUAAGCCAUAUUUGAUUUCUGAAUAGAAGUUAUUAUACACACACACUUCAAUCAAGGAUUUGCUCUAAUAAAAAGGAGGUUGCAAGGAAAUGAUAUGUCUUUCCAGCUUUAUCAUUAAUGUAAGCUUAUUUUUUUUUCACAAUUGGUAUAAACAUUUAGCUAUUUUUACGUUUGUCACAUACCUAGUGUUUACACUACUGAAAAAUGACAGAGCCCCAACUCCUAUAAACGACUUGAUAGUUUUUUUCUAAUUCCAAAUGCAACUGAGAAAUGAAAAUUGAAAGUAAUUUUUUGCUUUUUAAAAAAUAUGUUCUUAUAGAUACCUAGCAAAUAUUGAUAGAAGUUUCAUAUACAAUCUAUUGCUCAUUACCUACCUUUAACAGAAUACUGGCACACUCUAUUUUCUAUAUUAAUUUCUCUAAGUAAAUGGAUUUUUACAUAAGGGAAGAAUCAGAUUAGGAUCUUUGAUGUAUUAUCUAGUUAGCAUAAUUUAGAGAAAUUGGAGUAUUCAUGACCCAAGGUACAAAUCUUGAGGCAAAAAUUUUUGCCUGAAAUUAGUAUUUAAGUAAAGAUAGAAAUAUAAUAAAACAAAGACUCAUUAUGUAUUUGUAGUAAUUUUGCAGUUUCUUUUUAUCACUUAAGCAACUGUGACUUCCUUUGGACAUCACUUUUUCCUGUUUCCAACUAAAUAAAUAUUGAUUUAAAAAUAUUCUGCCUCCUACUUUUGUGGCUGCUUUUGUAAUUCCAAAUGAAACAUUCUUCCACAAAAUUUUAUCAAUACCUCUACCAAAAAAAAAAAAAUAGAACUUUGGGUAAUAUCCUUUUUCUUCUGAUUUAAAUUAAUGUUUUAACAGCAUCUACUUAGUUCAAAUAUUCUUAUUACUAUAAAACAAUGGUAACUGUGUGAGGUGAUGUAUGUGUUAACUUGAUUGUGAUAAUCAUUUCACAAUGUAUACACAUAUUAAAGCAUUACACUGUACACCAUGAAAUAAUCAUAGACAACCUAAUGCAAAAAAAAAAAAAAAGAAGAAGAAGAAGAAGUCACAGAAAUUCACAAGAAUCACAGGAGGGCUUUCACAAACAAUAAAACUGGAGGUUCGGGACACAUUCAGCCAGAUUUCUAUAAGAUAGAGGCUCCAGAUAACAUCCGUAUUAUGGACUUUUGUGAGACAUAUUUCCUAUCAUGAUAACCCAAGCUGGACCCUUAAUUCCCCUAUUUAGUGGCUUGAUUCAAAUCCAAACUUGCUGUUUCUAACUUUAAAGUAAACAUCAGUAUUCCAGAGGUCAACAUCCUUUUUUCUGAUAGUGAGUUGUGGCCCAAAGGUUAGCCUUGGAUGAAAACAGAAAGUGAAAGGAUGGAUGGAGUGGAGAAGAACAAUUUCAAACACCUUUCAACAGGGUCCUUGAAAUCUAUCCCCACUUUACUAGACACUCAUUGUUUUCUUAAAGAAGUGAAUCCCAAAUCUAAAAACUUCACUUGGUUUUAAGCAGAAUUUAUUUAACAAUAUUUCUGCAAUCAGGAGGAAAAAGCCAACCAACACUAGUGAAGUGAAAGUGUAAGAGUUGUAGUAUUGGAUGACAUCCCUGAGUAAAUGAAUUUAGAUAACUGCCUCUGGGUUUCCUAUUAUAUGACCAAAAUAAACCCAUACUUUAGCAGCUCUUGUCCAUAUUUUUUGUUUCUAGCAAUCAAAAGAAAUCCUCAAUGAUACACAUGGAAGAGAUGAAAAACUGAAGAGUGAAACAAAGAUGUUUUUUGAAUUUAGAAAAUCUUCUUGGAGAAGAAAACUACUGUGAAUGUUGUGAAUGAGGUCCCCAUAAGAAUACACCUGUGCCGUGUGCCAUGAUCAAGAUACAAAAAGGAAUCAAGGGAAAAAGGGAACACUAAAGUCAGUGAAAAUCUCACUCAGUGAAAUGCCAUUUUUAUAAAGAGUACUUGACCUUCAAGAGCCAGUGUUUUCAAAGUUUUUAAGAGUUUGUAAACCACUCAGAUAAAUUCCCUUUCAAAGGAAAUAGCCCUUAUAUUGGAAGGGCUCAUUCACAAAAGAGAAUAAAAAUAGCACUUGGGUGAAGACUGGAAGAAGAGAAAAGCCACAGGUAUGUCUUUGGAUGGGCUAGAGAUUACAGCAGCAAUGUUUUUAAAUGGCAAGAAGAAAGUGAUACCGAAUACUCAUGUUAAAUAUCUGAUAGUGAAAUCCCCUUAGAGUCUUAAAAAGAAGGAAAGAAAAUGCUUUUACAGGACCCAAAGAUUUCUUACUUUUUCAAGAAUUAUUCAAAUUACUCCUUUAUUAAAAAAAAAAAUUCUUAAGAAACUCUCUAGUCAGGAAGCCAAAAAGUAAAAUGUAAUAAAUGUAUUUUGAGAGUGUGUAUAAGCAAAAACAUUUAGUAAAGUACCACGAAUUAAUACCAUCACACAUUCUAGCAAGUAGAUCUCAGUGUACUCAUCUGUAAAAAGGGAAAAGGAAUCUGAAAAAGAUAAUACCUAAGGCCCACAGCAAUCCUAAAAUUCUAAAAUAAUAUACAUUCUUAUUACAUAAGAAAUAUAUACUCAGUA